CCUUGUACACACCGCCCGUCACACCAUGGGAGUCGGCUGCUCCAGAAGUAGGAACCUCAACCCGCGAGGGAAGGCCCUACCAAGGAGCGGUCGGUGACUGGGGUG
rnacentral:rRNA from 1 species